UCCCCUGUGGCUCAGUUGGUAGAGCAUGGUGUUUGCAACACCAGGGUGUGGGUUCAAUUCCCACGGGGGAC
rnacentral:tRNA from 1 species